rnacentral:rRNA from 1 species
AUUGAACGCUGGCGGCAGGCCUAACACAUGCAAGUCGAACGAGUGGCGGACGGGUGAGUAAUGUCUGGGAAACUGCCUGAUGGAGGGGGAUAACUACUGGAAACGGUAGCUAAUACCGCAUACCAUCGGAUGUGCCCAGAUGGGAUUAGCUAGUAGGUGGGGUAACGGCUCACCUAGGCGACGAUCCCUAGCUGGUCUGAGAGGAUGACCAGCAACACGGGAACGAGGCAACGUGCCAGAGCCCUACGGGAGGAAGAAGUGGGGAAUAUGGCACAUGGGGCGAAAGCCUGAUGCGGCCAUGCCGCGUGUAGGAAGAAGGCCUUCGGGUUGUAAAGUACUUCCAGCGGGGAGGGGUAACCCGCAGAAGAAGCACCGGUUAAUUCCGUGCCAGAAGCCGCGGAAAUUC